AAUAAGGUGCCUGAAUAAAGGAUUAUUUUGAUAGAAUAAAUUAUAUACUAUGUAUUCUUAUUG
rnacentral:tRNA from 4 species